UGGAGAAUAACGCGUGGCUGGAGGAACAAUUGAAAAAUGGAUAAGAUAAUACAACAAAAGGAUAAUCAAAUUAUGAAGCUGCAGGCCCAAUUAUUGGAACAACACAAAAUAUUAGAUAACAACGAAACUAAGGAUGCUCAAAUUUUGAGUCUACAAGCUCAGCUAGGGGAAAAGAACAAAUUGGAACGGAACAGUUUCCAAACAGUGAAGGAGGUUUUUCCAAACUCAUCCCUAACUGAACAUGAGGAUGAGUUGGCAUUAGGCGAACACAGUCAGUUAUUCAGUCCACCUGACAGUGUGUUAAAGUUAAAUUCUCUUAGUGCUGCACUAAAAGAAUUGUUAGUAAUAAGUCCAUGCAGCGACGGAAGUGAACAAUUGUGGGACCGUAUUUGGGCUGAAAAAUGGGUGUGGUAAGGAAACCCAGAAAUAGCACGAGUUCAACGUAAAACAUGAAUUAGAAUUUUAGUGGGGGAUCAAGUCAAGUCUGGAAGUGUUACAGGAUGGAAGAGUGAGCCUACAGUUGAAAAACACUGAAAGCGCAUUACCAUUAAGAGUGUUGGUGAAGCUGGGUACUUAAAUGGCCCUAAAGAUGUUUCAUUUCGUUGGCAUUGCAGCGAUGAACAUCAUACAUGGACUUUUUAGGAAAGGAUUUUCAGCAUACUGGGAACACAACUAUCAACAAUGCAACAUUCUAGGGGUGCUAUUUUAUCAUUUAAGAGCCUUAUACAAUGAUUUUCAUCUGCAAUUUGUAUGGCCUUUCCCAAGCUUCUGCCAGAAAUUGAAUCUAUAAGUCAUGUAAGUCACAUGAGCAACAAUUGAGAUGCUUAAUGGUGUUUUUCUUUUCUCAGCAUAGGUUAAUAGUAACAUUGGAUCUGAAAAGAUUCUUGGUUGGGGCAAGACACUGAAUAAAUUGUAAUGAUUGAAUGGA